rnacentral:sRNA from 1 species
UUGAGCGGCGCGCAGGCCGGCGACCAUCUAGUCCAUGUCCGGCUGGGCGACGUGCCAGGCGCCCAUCUUGCCGUCACCGUUCUUGUCGCCAGGCUUCUUGUCCUGGAUGAAGGUAUAAAGGGGCUUGCCGUAGUAGGCCCACUGCUGGGUGCCGUCCUCGCGAGCGACCAGGCUCCAGUCGCCGCUGGCCUGCGCUCCCUGGGCCGCUGCCAGCGGCGGCCAGUUCUUCGCGCACUGCCCGGAACAGGCGGAUUGCCCUUCGCUGUCCUUGUCGUAGGUAUAGAGCGUCAUGCCCUUGCCAUCGACCAGCACGCCGUCCUUCUCGGUGGCCGGCGCCACCGUUUCCUGGGCCAGCGCGGCGAACGCCGGCAGGGCCAGCGCCAGACCCAGCGCCAGGUGGAUUCUGUUCAUCGCGUCUCUCUCCUGUGUCUUCAGGUGGAGCGUUCGCCGCCCGCAGGGACGGCACCGGAACCUGUUGAGC